rnacentral:tRNA from 1 species
GCCUGGGUGCUCAGUGGUUGAGCACCUGCCUUUGGCUCAGGUCGUGAUCCCGGGAUUUGGGAUCGAGUCCCACAUCAGGCU